CCAUACCACACUGAAUGUCCCUGAUCUUGUUUGGUCUCAGAAGCCAAGCAGAGUUGGGCCUGGUUAGUACUUGGAUGGGAGAUUGCCUAAGAAUACUGGAUG
rnacentral:rRNA from 1 species